GUUUAAUCCAACGACUCGCGGUCCUUUUAUCACAUCAUCCUGUCCUUACCUUCAGUAUAGGUUUCUUCAACAUUAUAUCAGACUUCCUGGUGAUGUGUUGUCGUGAGGAUAGCAGAUGAUGGAUCAGCUGCGGGACACUGUGGAAGCUUUCUCCAUCCAGACGCUGCUGGACUUCCAGUCUGGGAAUAGCUCCGUGGUACCAGUCCUGCUGCCCCAGAGGACGAUCUACCUCCUGCACCAGGGCGAGGGCCGUUAGAGUCUGGAGACAGAAGCAGAAGAAAAGCAGAAGCAUUAAAGCUAACAUGAAUAAU